rnacentral:rRNA from 1 species
UACGAACGGUGCAAGCGUUACUCGGAAUCACUGGGCGUAAAGCGCACGUAGGCGGACUCGCAGGUCAAUUGUGAAAUACCUGGGCUCAACCCGGGAACUGCAGUUGAAACCGCUUGUCUUGAAUACCUGAGAGGGUGGGGGAAUACCUGGUGGAGAAGUGAAAUUCGUAGAGAUCAGGUGGAACACCGGAGGCGAAGGCGCCUGCCUGGCAGUGUAUUGACGCUGAGGUGCGAAAGUGAGGGGAGCAAACAGG